AGGAUGUUUUCAUUAAUCAAGAACGAAAGCUCGGGGAUCGAAGAUGAUUAGAUACCAUCGUAGUCCGACGCCAUAAACGAUGCCGACUCGGGAUUGUCUUAUAUUCAUAUUUCGAAAGAAUAAAGGCAGCACCGUAUGAGAAAUCAAAGUCUUUGGGUUCCGGGGGGAGUAUGGUCGCAAGGCUGAAACUUAAAGGAAUUGACGGAAGGGCACACCAGAUGUGGAGCCUGCGGUUUAAUUUGACCCAACACGGGGAAACUUACCAGGUCCAGACAUGAUGAGGAUUGACAGUUUGAAAGCACUUUCUUAAUUUUAUGGGUGGUGGUGCAUGGCCGUUCUUAGUUGGUGGAGUGAUUUGUCUGGUUGAUUCCGAUAACGAACGAGACGGGAGGAGCUAACUAGUUUUUUGAUUUCUCACGAAAUCAAUGGCUUCUUUGCUCGACAACUUGGUUUUACCAAGAGGAAGCGUCCCGCAAUAACAGGUCUGUGAUGCCCUUAGAUGUUCUGGGCUACACGCGCGCUACAAUGACGAAUUCAACGAGUUUUAUUUUCCUUGCCCGGAAGGGUGUGGGUAAUCUUUUCAAUAUUCGUCGUGAUGGGGCUAGAUUUUUGCAAUUAUUAAUCUUCAACGAGGAAUAUCUAGUAUGUGCGAGUCAUCAGCUCGCGCAGAAUGCGUCCCUGCCCUUUGUACACACCGCCCGUCGCACCUACCGAUUGAAUGAUCCGGCAAGAAGUUUGGAGUUGGUGAUUUUUGGAGAAAUCCGAAUUUUACUGACAAAGCUCUUCAAACCUUAUCAUUUAGAGGAAGGUGAAGUCGUAACAAGGUCUCCG
rnacentral:rRNA from 1 species